rnacentral:rRNA from 1 species
CCGGCGACCGGCGCACGGGUGAGUAACACGUAUGCAACCUGGCCGUGACAGAUGGAUAACCGGGAGAAAUCCCGCCUAAUACAACAUAAUGCCGGGAGGGGACAUCCCCUGCCGGCCAAAGGGGGCGACCCCGGUCACGGAUGGGCAUGCGGCGCAUUAGGUAGUUGGUGGGGCAACGGCCCACCAAGCCGACGAUGCGUAGGGGUUCUGAGAGGAAGGUCCCCCACAUUGGGACUGAGACACGGCCCAGACUCCUACGGGAGGCAGCAG